AGAGUUUGAUCCUGGCUCAGGACGAACGCUGGCGGCGUGCCUAAUACAUGCAAGUCGAACGAACUCUGGUAUUGAUUGGUGCUUGCAUCAUGAUUUACAUUUGAGUGAGUGGCGAACUGGUGAGUAACACGUGGGAAACCUGCCCAGAAGCGGGGGAUAACACCUGGAAACAGAUGCUAAUACCGCAUAACAACUUGGACCGCAUGGUCCGAGUUUGAAAGAUGGCUUCGGCUAUCACUUUUGGAUGGUCCCGCGGCGUAUUAGCUAGAUGGUGAGGUAACGGCUCACCAUGGCAAUGAUACGUAGCCGACCUGAGAGGGUAAUCGGCCACAUUGGGACUGAGACACGGCCCAAACUCCUACGGGAGGCAGCAGUAGGGAAUCUUCCACAAUGGACGAAAGUCUGAUGGAGCAACGCCGCGUGAGUGAAGAAGGGUUUCGGCUCGUAAAACUCUGUUGUUAAAGAAGAACAUAUCUGAGAGUAACUGUUCAGGUAUUGACGGUAUUUAACCAGAAAGCCACGGCUAACUACGUGCCAGCAGCCGCGGUAAUACGUAGGUGGCAAGCGUUGUCCGGAUUUAUUGGGCGUAAAGCGAGCGCAGGCGGUUUUUUAAGUCUGAUGUGAAAGCCUUCGGCUCAACCGAAGAAGUGCAUCGGAAACUGGGAAACUUGAGUGCAGAAGAGGACAGUGGAACUCCAUGUGUAGCGGUGAAAUGCGUAGAUAUAUGGAAGAACACCAGUGGCGAAGGCGGCUGUCUGGUCUGUAACUGACGCUGAGGCUCGAAAGUAUGGGUAGCAAACAGGAUUAGAUACCCUGGUAGUCCAUACCGUAAACGAUGAAUGCUAAGUGUUGGAGGGUUUCCGCCCUUCAGUGCUGCAGCUAACGCAUUAAGCAUUCCGCCUGGGGAGUACGGCCGCAAGGCUGAAACUCAAAGGAAUUGACGGGGGCCCGCACAAGCGGUGGAGCAUGUGGUUUAAUUCGAAGCUACGCGAAGAACCUUACCAGGUCUUGACAUACUAUGCAAAUCUAAGAGAUUAGACGUUCCCUUCGGGGACAUGGAUACAGGUGGUGCAUGGUUGUCGUCAGCUCGUGUCGUGAGAUGUUGGGUUAAGUCCCGCAACGAGCGCAACCCUUAUUAUCAGUUGCCAGCAUUAAGUUGGGCACUCUGGUGAGACUGCCGGUGACAAACCGGAGGAAGGUGGGGAUGACGUCAAAUCAUCAUGCCCCUUAUGACCUGGGCUACACACGUGCUACAAUGGAUGGUACAACGAGUUGCGAACUCGCGAGAGUAAGCUAAUCUCUUAAAGCCAUUCUCAGUUCGGAUUGUAGGCUGCAACUCGCCUACAUGAAGUCGGAAUCGCUAGUAAUCGCGGAUCAGCAUGCCGCGGUGAAUACGUUCCCGGGCCUUGUACACACCGCCCGUCACACCAUGAGAGUUUGUAACACCCAAAGUCGGUGGGGUAACCUUUUAGGAACCAGCCGCCUAAGGUGGGACAGAUGAUUAGGGUGAAGUCGUAACAAGGUAGCCGUAGGAGAACCUGCGGCUG
rnacentral:rRNA from 3 species